rnacentral:rRNA from 1 species
GCCGGUAAGGUGAUAUGAACCGUUAUAACCGGCGAUACCCGAAUGGGGAAACCCAGUGUGAUUCGUCACACUAUCAUUAACUGAAUCCAUAGGUUAAUGAGGCGAACCGGGGGAACUGAAACAUCUAAGUACCCCGAGGAAAAGAAAUCAACCGAGAUUCCCCCAGUAGCGGCGAGCGAACGGGGAGGAGCCCAGAGCCUGAAUCAGCAUGUGUGUUAGUGGAAGCGUCUGGAAAGGUGCGCGAUACAGGGUGACAGCCCCGUACACAAAAGCGCAUGUGCUGUGAGCUCGAUGAGUAGGGCGGGACACGUGGUAUCCUGUCUGAAUAUGGGGGGACCAUCCUCCAAGGCUAAAUACUCCUGACUGACCGAUAGUGAACCAGUACCGUGAGGGAAAGGCGAAAAGAACCCCGGCGAGGGGAGUGAAAAAGAACCUGAAACCGUGUACGUACAAGCAGUGGGAGC